rnacentral:rRNA from 1 species
UGGGGAAUAUUGCACAAUGGGCGAAAGCCUGAUGCAGCAACGCCGCGUGAGGGAUGACGGCCUUCGGGUUGUAAACCUCUUUCAGCAGGGAAGAAGCGAAAGUGACGGUACCUGCAGAAGAAGCGCCGGCUAACUACGUGCCAGCAGCCGCGGUAAUACGUAGGGCGCAAGCGUUGUCCGGAAUUAUUGGGCGUAAAGAGCUCGUAGGCGGUUAGUCGCGUCUGCUGUGAAAACUCGAGGCUCAACCUCGGGCUUGCAGUGGGUACGGGCUGACUAGAGUGCGGUAGGGGUGACUGGAAUUCCUGGUGUAGCGGUGGAAUGCGCAGAUAUCAGGAGGAACACCGAUGGCGAAGGCAGGUCACUGGGCCGCAACUGACGCUGAGGAGCGAAAGCAUGGGGAGCGAACAGGAUUAGAUACCCUGGUAGUCCAUGCCGUAAACGUUGGGCACUAGGUGUGGGGUCCAUUCCACGGAUUCCGUGCCGCAGCAAA